UCGCUAAGCCAUGCGAGUCAUUGUAGCAAUACAAGGCAGACGGCUCAGUAACGCGUAGUCAAUCUACCCUAUGGACGGGAAUAACCUCGGGAAACUGAGAAUAAUGCCCGAUAGAACAUUAUGCCUGGAAUGGUUUAUGUUUCAAAUGAUUUAUCGCCAUAGGAUGGGACUGCGGCCUAUCAGUUUGUUGGUGAGGUAAUGGCCCACCAAGACUAUUACAGGUACGGGCUCUGAGAGGAGUAGCCCGGAGAUGGGUACUGAGACACGGACCCAGGCCCUAUGGGGCGCAGCAGGCGAGAAAACUUUGCAAUGUGCGAAAGCACGACAAGGUUAAUCCGAGUGGUUUCUGCUAAAGAAACCUUUUGUCAGUCCUAGAAACACUGACGAAUAAGGGGUGGGCAAGUUCUGGUGUCAGCCGCCGCGGUAAAACCAGCACCUCAAGUGGUCAGGAUGAUUAUUGGGCCUAAAGCAUCCGUAGCUCGUUUUGUAAGUUUUCGGUUAAAUCCAUGCGCUUAACGUAUGGGCUGCCGGGAAUACUGCAUAACUAGGAAGUGGGAGAGGUAGACGGUACUCGGUAGGAAGGGGUAAAAUCCUUUGAUCUAUUGAUGACCACCUGUGGCGAAGGCGGUCUACCAGAACACGUUCGACGGUGAGGGAUGAAAGCUGGGGGAGCAAACCGGAUUAGAUACCCGGGUAGUCCCAGCUGUAAACUAUGCAAACUCAGUGAUGCAUUGGCUUGUGGCCAAUGCAGUGCUGCAGGGAAGCCGUUAAGUUUGCCGCCUGGGAAGUACGUACGCAAGUAUGAAACUUAAAGGAAUUGGCGGGGGAGCACCACAAGGGGUGAAGCCUGCGGUUCAAUUGGAGUCAACGCCAGAAAUCUUACCCGGAGAGACAGCAGAAUGAAGGUCAAGCUGAAGACUUUACCAGACAAGCUGAGAGGAGGUGCAUGGCCAG
rnacentral:rRNA from 1 species